UACGUAGGGUGCAAGCGUUGUCCGGAAUUAUUGGGCGUAAAGAGCUCGUAGGCGGUUUGUCGCGUCGGCUGUGAAAACCUGGGGCUCAACCCCGGGCCUGCAGCCGAUACGGGCAAGCUAGAAUUCGGUAGGGGAGACUGGAAUUCCUGGUGUAGCGGUGAAAUGCGCAGAUAUCAGGAGGAACACCGGUGGCGAAGGCGGUUCUCUGGGCCGAUAUUGACGCUGAGGAGCGAAAGCGUGGGGAGCAAACAGG
rnacentral:rRNA from 1 species